rnacentral:rRNA from 1 species
AUUGAACGCUGGCGGCAGGCCUAACACAUGCAAGUCGAACGGUAGCACAGAGAGCUUGCUCUCGGGUGACGAGUGGCGGACGGGUGAGUAAUGUCUGGGAAACUGCCCGAUGGAGGGGGAUAACUACUGGAAACGGUAGCUAAUACCGCAUAACGUCGCAAGACCAAAGUGGGGGACCUUCGGGCCUCACACCAUCGGAUGUGCCCAGAUGGGAUUAGCUAGUAGGUGGGGUAAUGGCUCACCUAGGCGACGAUCCCUAGCUGGUCUGAGAGGAUGACCAGCCACACUGGAACUGAGACACGGUCCAGACUCCUACGGGAGGCAGCAGUGGGGAAUAUUGCACAAUGGGCGCAAGCCUGAUGCAGCCAUGCCGCGUGUAUGAAGAAGGCCUUCGGGUUGUAAAGUACUUUCAGCGGGGAGGAAGGCGAUAAGGUUAAUAACCUUGUCGAUUGACGUUACCCGCAGAAGAAGCACCGGCUAACUCCGUGCCAGCCGCCGCGGUAA